rnacentral:tRNA from 1 species
GGAUCGUUAGCUCAAUCGGUAGAGCAAAUGACUCUUAAUCAUUAGGUUGUCGGUUCGAGUCCGACACGAUCCACCA